CUGCAAUUGCUACAGCGAGAGAGGGGCUGGCUAAGAGCUGUGUUAUCUAACGGGAACUGUCUCACUGGAAAGGGUGAAAGAAAAGAUUAAGCAGCCAUGGGCUUCCUCUGUACUAUCUAGCUAUUACUUCUAUCACCACUAUCUGUUCGGGCUCCCACUCUUCAGAGGUGGAGAUUUUGUGCUUGACUUGGUAACCGAAAGAAAGGGAUGAGAGAUGUCUGACAAAAUGUCGAGCUUUCUUCACAUUGGAGAUAUAGUCUCCUUGUACUCCGAAGGAUCUGUCAAUGGGUUCAUCAGUACUUUAGGCCUUGUGGAUGACCGAUGUGUGGUGCAGCCAGAUGCUGGAGAUUUGAACAACCCACCUAAGAAAUUCAGAG